AACAUCAACAUUUUCAUCAUUCCCACAAUUCAAUCAAAAUUCAUGUGUUUAAUAACAACAUUUCCAUUAUUCCCACAAUUCAAUCAAAUUUCAUGGGUUUAAAUUCAUGUGUUUAAUAACAACAUUUCCAUUAUUCCCACAAUUCAAUCAAAUUUCAUGGGUUUAACAACAACAUUUUCAUUUUUCACACAAUUCAAUCAAAUUUCUUGGGUUUAACAUCAACAUUUCGUCAUUUCCACCAUUCAAUCAAAUUUCAUAGGUUUAACAACAACAUUUUCAUCAUUCACAUAAUUCAUUCAAAUUUCAUGGGUUUAACAUUAUCACUUUCAUCAUUCACACAGUUCAAUCAAAUGUCAUGGGUUUAACAUCAACAUUUCAUCGUUUCCACAAUUCAAUCAAAUUUCAUAGGUUUAACAACAACAUUUUCAAUAUUCACACAAUUCAAUCAAAUUUCAUAGGUUUAACAACAACCUUUUCAUCAUUCCCAUAAUUUAAUCAAAUUUCAUCGGUUUAACAUCAACAUUUUCAUCGUUCACACAAUUCAAUUAGAUUUUAAGGGUUUAACAAAAUAAUUUUUAUUAUUCAUAUAUUUCAAUCAAAUUUCAGGGUUUUAACAACAAUAUUUUCAUUUAAUCACACAAUUCAAUCAAAUUUUAUGGGUUUAACAUCAUCAUUUUCAUCAUUCCCACAAUUCAAUCAAAUUUCCUGUUUUUAACGUCAUCACUUUUAUCAUUCACACAAUUCAAUCGAAUUUCAUGGGUUUAACAUCAACAUUUCAUCAUUUCAACAAUUCAAUCAAAUUUCAUAGGUUUAACAACAACAUUUUCAUCAUUUACACAAUUCAAUAAAAUUUUAUAGGUUUAACAACAACAUUUUCAUCAUCCCCAUAAUUCAACCAAAUUUCAUGGGUUAAACAACAACAUUUUCAUCAAUCCCACAAUGCAAUCAAAUUUCAUGGGUUUAACAUCAACAUUUUCAUCAUUCCCACAAUUCAAUCAAAUUUCAUGGGUUUAACAACAACAUUUCUAUCAUUCACACAACUCAAUCAAAUUUUAGGGGUUUAACAACAACAUUUUCAUCAUUCCCACAAUACAAUCAAAUUUCAUGGGUUUAACAUCAUCAUUUUCAUCAUUCACACAGUUCAAUCAAAUUUCAUGGGUUUAACAUCAACAUUUCAUCAUUUCGACAAUUCAAUCAAAUUUCAUAGGUUUAACAACAACAUUUUCANNNNNNNNNNNNNNNNNAUCCAACAAUUCAAUCAAAUUCAUGGGUUUAACACAACAUUUCAUCAUUUCACAUUCAAUCAAUUUCAAGGCUUUACAACAACAUUUUUCAUUCACAAAUUCAAUAAAAUUUCAUAGGUUUAACAACAACACUUUCAUCAUUCCCAUAAUUCAAUCAAAGUUCAUGGUUUAACAUCAUCGGUUUCGUCAUUCACACAGUUCAAUCAAAUUCAGGGUUUAACAUCAACAUUUCAUCAAUUCCACAUUCAAUCAAUAUGUUCAUAGGUUAACAACAACAUUUUCAAUCAUUUACAACAAUUCAAUCAAAUUUAUAAGGUUUAACAACAACAUUUCAUCAUCCCAUAAUUCAACAAAGUUCAUGGGUUUAAUUACAACAAUAAGCAUUCCCAAAUUCGAUCAAUCAUUUAACAUCACAUUUCAUAUUCCAAAUCAACAAUUCAUGGGUUUAACAAAACAUUUCUUAAUAUUCCCACAAUUCAAUCAAAUAUUAGGAUUAACAAAACAACACAUUUUCCAUAUUCCCUAUCAUACAUUUUCAUUCCAAUUAAUAAAUUUCAUGGUUUAACAUCACGAUUUUCAUCAUUCCUCCAAUUCAUCAAAAUUCAUUGUUUAAUAACAACAUUUCCAUUAUUCCGCACAAUCAAUCAAUCAUCGGGUUUAACAACACAUUUUCAUUUUUCACACAAUUCAUCAAUAUUGCUUGGGUUUAACAUCAACAUUUCAUCAUUUCCACCAUUCAAUCAUUCAGUAGGUUUAACAACAACAUUUUCAUCACUUCCACAAUUCAUUCCAAAUUUCAUGGGGUUUAACAUUAUCAAUUUUCUCAUUCACACAGUUCAAUCAAUUUUCAUGGUUUAACAUCAACAUUUCCUCAUUUCCACAAUUCAAUAAAUUUUCAUAGGUUUAAAAACAACAUUUUCAUCUUACACAAUUCAAUCAAAAUUUCAUAGGUUUAAAACAGCCUUUCAUCAUUCCCAUAAGUCAAUCAAAUUUCAUCGGGGUUUUAACAUCGAACCUUUUCAUACGUUCACACAUUUCAAUUGAUUUUAAGGGUUUAACAAGAAUAAUUUUUAUUCACAUAUAGUUCAAUCAAUUUCAUGGGUUUACAAUAUUUUCAUUUUAAUCAACUUCCCACAAUUCAACAAAUUUCACCUGGGGUUUAACAUCAUCAUUUUGCAUCCCUCAAAAAUUCUAUAACAUUCAUUCAUAAUUCAAUUCAAAAUUCAUGUGUUUAAUAACAACAUUUCCAUUAUUCCGCUCAAUUCAAUCAAAUUUCAUGGUUUAACAACAACAUUUUCAUUUUUCACACAAUUCAAUCAAAUUUCUUGGUUUAACAUCAACUUUUCAUCAUUUCCACCAUUCAAUCAAAUUAUCGGUUUAACAACAACAUUUUCAUCAUCCCACAAUUCAUUCAAUUUCAUGGGUUUAACAUUAUCAUUUUCAUCAUUCACCAGUUCAAUCAAAUUUUAUGGGUUUAACAUCAACAUUUCAUCAUUUCCACAAUUCAAUCAAUUUUCAUAGGUUUAACAACAAACAUUUUCAUCAUUCACACAAUUCAAUCAAAUUUCAGUUUAACAACAGCACUUUCAUCAUUCCCUUAAGUCAAUCAAUUUCAUCGGUUAACAUCGACAUUUGAUCAUCACACUUUCAAUUAGAUUUUAAGGGUUACAAAAUAUUUUUAUCAUUCAUAAUCAAUAAAAUUUCAUGGUUACACAACAUUUUUCAUCAUUUCAUCAUCAUAUUAUCGCUACACACCACAUAUGCAAAUCACCCAAUUUCAUGGAUUUUAAAUCAUCACAAUUUUCAUCAUUCCACAAUUCAAUCAAACUUUCAUGGGUUUAACAUCCACAUUUUCAUAUUUCCCACAUCAAUCAAAUUCAUAUGGUUUAAAAAACAUUUCCAUAUUCCCAUUCAAUCAAAUUCAUGGGUAUUAAUCACAACAUUUUCAUCUUCUCACACAAUUCCAAUCAAAUUCUUGGCGUUACACCAUCAACAUGUCUUCCAUAUCCAACACUCAAUCAAAUUUCGAUGUUUAAACAAACCAACAUUUUCUAUCAUUCCCAACAAUUCACCAUCAAUUUUAGGUUUAAAAACAACAUCUAUCAUUCUCCCACAACCUUCAAUAAAGUCAUGGGUUUUAACAUCAACAUUUCAUCUAUUUCCACAAUCAAUCAUAAUUUCAAGGUUAACAACAACAUAUUUAUCAUUCACACAAUUCAUCAAAUUUCAUGGUUAACAUUAUACACUUUUCAUCAUCUCAUGAAGUUCAAUCAAAUUUCUGCGUUAACAUCAUCAUUUCAUCAUCUUUCAACAGACUGCAAUCAAAUUUUCAUAGGUUUACACAACAUUUUCAUCAAUACCAAUUCAAUCAAAUUUCAAGGUCUUAACAACAAGCACUUUCAACAUGUUACAUUAAUUCAAUCAAAUUUAUUAGGUUUCAAACAUAAUUUCAUAUUCCAUCAAUUCAACAUAGGAUUUAUGGUUUACACAAUAAUUUUUAUAUGACCACGAUAUUCCAUCAAUUUCAUGGUUUAACAACACAUAUUUUCAUAUCCCACAAUUCAAUCAAAUUUCUGGGUUUAACAAAAACAUUUCUAUCAUCACAUAUUCAAUCAAAUUUUAGGGGUUAAAAUAACAUUUUCAUCAUUCCCACAACUUGAAUAAAAUUUCAUGGUUUAACAUCCACAUUUCAUCAUUCAUAAUUCAAUCAAAUCAUGGGUUUAAUAACAACAUUUCAUUAUUCGGACAUUCAAAUCCAAAUUCAUGGUCUACACACAUUUCAUUUUUCAACACAAGUUCAAUCAAAUUUGUGUGUGUCGUAGCGUGAUCGUUGUCUGCUGCAUGUGCUGAUCUGGAUUUCAUGUUGGGGUGUGAUACUGUACGUUUAUUCUUCCCACAAUUCAUUCAAUGCAGGGUUAACUUAUCUCAUCAUCACACCGGUUCAACAAUUUAGUGGAGGUACAUCAAGAUUUCAUCAUUUCCACAAUUCAAUCGAUUCAUAGUUUAAUCUAUGCGUGUGUAUCUAUCUAUAUCAAUUUCAUGGUUUAACAAAACGAGCACUUAUCAUUCCUUAAGCAAUCAAAUUUCACGUUACAUCGCCUUUCGUGUGUGUGUCUGAUGUGAUAAUAUGUGUGUUUAACAAAUAUUUUUAUCAUUCAUAUAUCAAUCAAAAUUUCAUGUUUUAACACAAUAUUUUACAUUUAAUCACACAAUUCAAUCAAUUCUUGGGUUUAAACAUCAACUUACAUCAUCUUCCACCAUUCAAUCAAUUUCAUUAGGUUUAACAACAAUCAUCAUUCCCCAAUUCAUUCAAUUCAUGGCGUUUUUACAAUUAUCAUUUUCAUCAUCACACAGUUCAAUCAAAUCUUAUGGGUUAACAUAACUUCAUACAUUUCAUCAUUUCCACCAUUCAAUCAAUUUCAUAGAUUUAACAACAACAUUUUCAUCAUUCCCACAAUUCAAUCAAAAUUCAUGGGUUUAACAUCAUCAUUUUCAUCAUUCACACAGUUCAAU
rnacentral:lncRNA from 1 species